rfam:Papio anubis isolate 1X1155 chromosome 16, whole genome shotgun sequence.
CUCCAGGGCAACCGUGGCUUUCGAUUGUUACUGUGGGAACUGGAGGUAACAGUCUACAGCCAUGGUCGCCCCGCAGCA